rnacentral:rRNA from 1 species
CGAGGAACCUUACCGUGGCGUCGAACGUAAGAUGACUGUAGGUGAAAGCUUACAUCUCUUCGGAGCAUUUUACGAGGUGCUGCAUGGUUGUCGUCAGCUCGUGCCGUGAGGUGUCGGGUUAAGUCCCAUAACGAGCGCAACCCUACCUUUAGUUGCCAUCAGGUAAUGCUGGGGACUCUAAAGGAACUGCCUACGCAAGUAGUGAGGAAGGCGGGGAGUGACGUCAAAUCAGCACGGCCCUUACGUCCAGGGCGUACACACGUGCUACAAUGGCCGAUACAGAGGGCAGCUACCUGGUGACAGGAUGCAAAUCUCCAAAGUCGGUCUCAGUUCGGAUCGGAGUCUGCAACCCGACUCCGUGAAGUUGGAUUCGCUAGUAAUCGCGCAUCAGCCAUGGCGCGGUGAAUACGUUCCCGGGCCUU